rnacentral:rRNA from 1 species
AUUGAACGCUGGCGGCAUGCUUUACACAUGCAAGUCGAACGGCAGCACGGGGGCUUGCUCCUGGUGGCGAGUGGCGAACGGGUGAGUAAUGCAUCGGAACGUACCCAGUAGUGGGGGAUAGCCCGGCGAAAGCCGGAUUAAUACCGCAUAUUUCCUGAGGGAGAAAGCGGGGGACCUUCGGGCCUCGCGCUACUGGAGCGGCUGAUGUCGGAUUAGCUAGUUGGUGAGGUAAAGGCUCACCAAGGCGACGAUCCGUAGCUGGUCUGAGAGGAUGAUCAGCCACACUGGGACUGAGACACGGCCCAGACUCCUACGGGAGGCAGCAGUGGGGAAUUUUGGACAAUGGGGGCAACCCUGAUCCAGCCAUGCCGCGUGAGUGAAGAAGGCCU